GGAGCUGGCGGGGCAGAGCUGCUGCAUGUUCUCGGCAGCCCCCGGGCGCUGCCCACGGGGCUGGAGGCUUCACUUGGUCCCUCUCUCCUCAGAGGAAGCAGAUCUGCCUGGCUUGUGUCAAGUUUGACUCCCGCAGCGGGGGAAAGGUGCUGGGUAGCUACACGCACUGCAGGAUGGAGAAGCAGCAGCCUGAGAAGGAGAUGGAGAUGAGACAGGAGGAGGAGUGCAGGACUGUGCAGGAGAUGGGCGAAGUGCGCCACCGUAUCGGCAUGUAUGGCUUCUCCAAAGAGCUGCCGUCCUAGCCACCUCCACAUCCACAGCAUGCCUGGGCACCUCUGGGACCCUCGACCUGCGGAAGGACGCUGCUAUCGGCGCUGACCAGUGGAGACCCGGCAACCACCCCUGCCCGUCAGACACUGCGCCCGCUCCAGCACCAGGCCGGGCAGAGCGGCCUGGCCAACGGAUCCUGCUGCUCCUUCCUCCCCACCCCCGCCUCGCUCAGCUCCAUCGCCCGGCUGUUCAUCCCCAAUAAAGCCAGAGCCCCACUUCGGAA